rnacentral:rRNA from 1 species
UACGGAGGAUCCGAGCGUUAUCCGGAUUUAUUGGGUUUAAAGGGUGCGUAGGCGGUUCAAUAAGUCAGUGGUGAAAGUUUUCGGCUUAACCGGAAAAUUGCCGUUGAUACUGUUGGGCUUGAAUUUGGUUGCUGUGAGUGGAAUGUGUGGUGUAGCGGUGAAAUGCUUAGAUAUCACACAGAAUAUCGAUUGCGAAGGCAUCUCACAAAGCCAAUAUUGACGCUGAUGCACGAAAGUGUGGGGAUCAAACAGGAUUAGAAACCCUUGUAGUCC